AUAGAGUAUUAUAGUAGAGAAGCUACUUGACCAAGGUUCCUAAGUCUGUCUGAGUAGCUGCAAACAUUUGGGCGAACUACACAACUCAAGGAAUAUAGAUAGCCUUUUCAGCUGUCAAAAGGGGACAGGGGAAUCCCUUUUCUACUAAUCGUCCAUCUUUGAUAUUGGAGUACAAUGGACUAUAUAUGAGAACAUUCUUACCAAUUGAUGUAUUAAAACUUAUAACUUUUGCUUAGAAGAAUUUAUGGUUCCUGAUAGCAGGGGGUUAGGGAGAGAUGUUUAGACAUUUCAAUUUUUUAAUGAAUUUAUUGAUAUACAGUAGGAACAGUUCGGCUUUCACAUUAAUUCAUACAUUUCAAAGAUUUUUCUUUGUGAUAGAAUGAUGUAAAGCUAUUAUAUAUUCUGCCCAGAAUGUCUCUCAUCUGUUUCUUUAAAAAACGUUAAAGCACCAUUGAACCAAUUUUUACGGUACUAUUAAUCAGUGUAAUCAGUAUUAAUACACUACUUUACCAGCUCAGUGCCACUUGUCAGUAAUAUGACAGGGUGAAUUUUACAUCUUCUUCACAAAGGCUUUCAUCUAUUAGGGAGAGAAAAAGGAGAUCAGGAUUUUAAUUGUUAGCAAUCAGAAGCCUAUGUGAUUAAGACAGGCAUUCUGAAUAAGACACAGCACAGAUUAUACUGAGAAUAUUUUUCAUCCUUUACUAAUUCUUUUAUGAAUUUGAAUGUAGUCUUAUUUACCUGAAACUUUAAUUAUAGACUCAAAGGAGAGUAAUAUGCCUAUUAGAAAUAUAAGAAUUUAAUGUUAAAGGUUUUAAUGUGGUUCUGGCUGGCUUCUUUCUCUCUUUAUAUCUUGGCUUGCAGUGUUCCCAAAUCCUCAGGUUUCCUCCAAAUGAAUGUUGUUGGCCAGGCACAGUGGCUCAUGCCUGUAAUUCCAGCACUUUGGGAGGCUGAGAGAUGGUGUUUCACUACGUUGCUCAGGCUGGUCUUGAACUCCUGACCCCAAGCAGUUCUCCUGCUUCAGCUCUCAAAGUGCUGGGAUUACUGAUGUGAGCCACUAUGCCUGGCCAGGUUUAGGAUUAUUAUGCGUAGAAGUUUUCUCUUAAAAUAGAAGUGAUCCUUAGAGUAGCCACAAGUUAAUUUAUUUCUAGUGUUUACAACCCAGCACAGUUUAGUUCUCAGUUAAGUUCAAUUACUUGUAAAAUCUGAGGUUCAUCAACUACAGAAUUUCACAAAAGCAAAAACUGGGAAUUCUACAGAAGUUACACUGGAGAAUGAUUUAAUAAAUUAAUGAAAGGGUGUUAACGAAUGCAAAUGUUACAGCAUUGGUGGACUGAUAGUGAGGAUAACAACAGCGAGCCCACUUACUUAUUUUCCCUUUGUGUUUCAAGUGGUGGUGAAAAUAUUCUCAGUCUUUUUUUUUUACCCGUCUGUCCUUUGGGCCUCCACAUCCCUUAGGACACCAACCUGCUUCAAAACUGCCAUAAUGACUUGCUGAAAUCGUUUAUGUCAAGGUUAAGGAGAGUAUAGAUUCUCUGCUUUUUGCAAGUAUAAAAGAGAAAAUAUGUGGAAAUUGAUUCAAUUAACUGACUACUACUGAUCAGUCAACUGAUAAGAUGAAUUCUGCAGUAAUGGAAGAUCAAGAAAUGCUAUUCUCAAGAUCUUUUUAUUCACCUCUUCAAGAAUCCUUUUUAUUUUUCUGAGAAUGGAAAGUUCUAACUAAAUUCUUUGUUGCUGGACUCAUUUCGUUUUAUUGUGGUUUAUUUAUAGGAGGCACACAGAACCAACCACCAGUCAUCCAUCGCUUGUUUUGAGUUUUUCUGUUACAAUAUUGCUG
rnacentral:lncRNA from 1 species